UCUCCCUCUCUCUCUCUCUCUGGUAUUCAGUUAAUCACACUCACCUGUGUCCAGCUCCACUCUAAUCAGUCUCACUGGUCUCACCUGGUACUGACCUGGGUCUGUCACUCUGACUGCUCAGUUCAUUGUUGCUGUUCCACCGUUGCUGCCUGAUGUCGGUGCAUGUUUGCUGGGUGAUCCCGUCUGUUAACACGUGGCUGAGUUCCAUGGUUGGUGUCCUGCUCUCAGCCUCCUGCUCCCUCUGACUGACUGGCUACUUGAAGCAGAGCCCAAACUUCCUCAUACUGGACUGUAAUAAGACACAGCUCCUUCUCCUGGAUCCAAUAUUGAAUCAAUUUGGUGUGAUUUCCGUCGGAGCUCGGCUGCAGCCUGACUCGCCUGGUGCCAAACAGACAGACUGGGUGAAACAGAAACCACAGCCAGACCUGCACAAAGCAAUGGCACAAAUAGAACUUCAAACGGUCAACAUUGUGUCAGUGCAUUGACUGAAGCAGAACUCCUUCUGGCUACACAGCAGCCAAACAGAGGAUUUACAACCUCUUUUGGUGGAGCUGGGAUUUCAUCAGACGGUGUCCAGGAUUGGGAUUAGGAACUGGCUGCUGAAACAAGAUGAAGAGACGAUGGGUACUGAGCACCAAGGAGGUUAGAGAUUAUGUUACCAGGCAGGAGGAAUGAACGAUCACCACAGGGAAGAUUCAUAGGCAAAGUGAAUGACAUGAAGAAUAAUUGAUUAGUCGAUGUAACAGUUAAUGAGGGCAGGAGGAAGUGAGUUAGAGGCAGAUGAUCUGCUGUGAAGAAAAGUCCGUGUUUGAGCUGUUGGCCUAUAAAUCCAGUUGGUCAAACGCUACUGUUUUCUUUAUGUUAGUGUAACCUUUCAAAAAAGUACAUUUUUGAUGAUGUCUUAGCAGAAAAAAUGCAAAUUAAAUUAAGGCCAGUUCUCCCAGCAGAGAGACAAACAAAUGUGAAAUUCCAUUCUUAUCUGAAGGCGUGAACUAGAACGUGAGACGGCAUCAAAACAGUAUUCAUUAUUUGAAAUGUUGAAUGAACUACAAAGCUGUUGCCUUGAAGGUCAAAUUUCCAUUGAUCAGGACUCCAGCACAUUCACUUUGGUUUGUUUCAGUUGAGUGAGAGUGAAGCAAGAAAGAAAAGUUGUUCUCCAGUUGUUCUUUUGACUUCUUACAUAUAUAAACUAAAGAUUUUUCCAAAACUCUGUGACCACGUCUUGGUCAUCAUAACAGACAAAUCCCGUCCACUGACUCGACCGCUGCCUCGUCACCACUGGUCUAGACGUCCGCUGCUAAUCGGACGGACACGCACUCCCAUUUCAAAUCCUGUUAACUCUCCCAGGCUGCGCUACAACCUACAUUCCGUGCUAAUCUCACUGACUGAGGAGUGAAGAGGUCAGGGACAUGAUGCAAAAAGGUGGCAAAUCCUGGUGACAGAGCAGAGCAAGGAAGUGGGGUGGAGGUGAGGAUGGUGUGUGGUGGUGGUGGUGGGUGGGGGUAUCCUUCUCAUGGGCCUCUAAAUCUUAUUUGUACAAGGAGGAUAUGGAUGUUGGAGAGACUUAUAUCUGUGUCUAACAGCUCCGAGGGGAAGGAGAAAAGGCAGAGAUCCAAGCUGUAUAAAACACACGUGCUGAAGAUCGCUGCUGCGUCUUCUUCUCGGCAUCUGUUAUUUUAAUAAUGUAGGUAUUGCAAAUUUAAAUUUCACACUUUAACAGUAAAGUAUCGGAGGUAUUGGCUGGGAAAUACAGGCUUCUCUGACUGGGGUGGAACGGACUCUCCUUCACACUGCCGUGACCUAAAUCACCAAGAAAAUCCAAAAUGAACUGAAGGACAAAGUCAAUGCCUGAAGACUAUUAAUAUUUCAGUGAGCUUGGAGGAUUAACCAAUGAGAAAUGGGCUCUGAAACCUGGGCUACAAACCUGUGGGAGAUGGGAACAAAAAGUGCUUAACUGCUUAUGAUGCUGGUAGUAAUAAUAAUGUGGUGUCUUUAUGAAAGUAAAGCAAAAAACAAAAUUCUUGAUGAAAGCUAAAAACCGUGUGAUGUCAUCACACAACUAUAACAUCAUCAAACAGUCUAGGGAACCAGUUAGAGGAACUCUAAUACAGGAAGAAUUACAAUCCCUAGGAAUUGAACCGGUUCCCAAUUUCAACCCCCACAACUGACAUAUGUUACCACCCCUCAAUAAUUCCUGCCCCCCCCCUUUGUGCCCCAUAAAUAUUUAAUAAACCACCACCGCUGUUUUUAAAUAGCACAAUAGUUCAGAUUAAUUUUCUUAUGGUUUCUUUUUUAUAUCACAACUGUAAUAAUCGUAGUUCUAUACCUUAGUGUUAACAGCUAAUUUUAUUCCACCGUUUUAGUGGUUGUCCGUGACUGAAACAAACUGAGGUUUGGUUAUAAUAACUAUACCAGACUCUCAGCAAUGUCAGAAAUCACAUGUUGUCAUCACAACAGCGAACAGAACCGGCCGACAUCAGCCACACCACCGCGCAGAGGCAGAAACAGGGAAAAUACAAUUGAGUGCCUGUAGAACGUGCGCCUCCGCCUGACACGCCCUCUGCGUCUCCACCCAUCAACCAACCACAGACACAGUCAUGUCUAAUUCCAGGCGGUGUCAUUAGAAAACCUGCACCAGCCCGUCUGUAUCACACACUGGGGUUGAAUGGAGGAGAUUGUUGGAGGAAAUGUGUUUAUGGGCUACUUUGCAUAAUGUGAUUUUACUUCAACAAGUAUCAGGAAAUGAAUGCGUCCAUUUGGCCGUGCGUAAAUUAGCAUCAAAUUGGGAUGAUGGUGCGCGUCACGUGUCUCCUAGUAAUAAAUCCCAGAAAUCCUGUGUAAUAGGUUUUAGUGGAACAGCAAAUGAAUGGCUGUCCACAGAGAGCGUGAUCUAUACUGUAGGUGGAUUUAUUCUACCUCUGGAAACUGCUAGUCCCCCCCACCUCCCCUCUCUCUCUCUCACCCUCUCUCUCCCGAAUUACUCACCGCUGAUAGUAAAUGACGUCACUCCUACGAGAGCUGACAAUGACUGGAACACAGUGCGUGCAGCCUGAUGAUCACAGCACGACUAUGUCUGAAGUACAGACUUUAGACUUGAUUUGAAAAUCAAUAGGUUUUAUUCGUUGAUAAUGAAUAUAUUAUUAAUGAUUUAUUAUAAAUCUUGCUUUAACUAAGUGCCUUUCAGUCCCAUCUCUCGGUGUUCUUAGUUCU